rnacentral:lncRNA from 1 species
UGAGCUUUGGAGCUUCUCCUGGUGUAAUGUGCUUCCAAAGCCCCUUGCUUCCCACCGUGGUUCACACCAUCCGAGACCAAACCAAGUAGUUGUUUCCCUUGAAACAAACCGCCACCUUCAUGUUCAUGUUCAUCCCACUCUCCAUGUUGAAUGCUGAACUCUUUAGACUUUGCUACCUUUAUCUUGAGCUGAACGACUUGUAUGAACCUUCACAGCCUCAGUCUUCAACUCUCACCACUUCAAUAACACACCAGAACUAGACUUGAACUCGGACAGUACCCAGAAACUCUCAAGAACACAAGAAAACAUGAUUACCUAAGUGGGACAGCUGGAAUAGCACAGCUUCUUCGUCGUUCCAAUCAAACCAGGAUGAAUCACUUUGUAAAAAGCUUGAUUUGGAUACAUAAAGUGGUGGAGAAUCACCAGGAAGUUGAAUAAAUCCCAUAGGAGUUGGCAUGAAGAAGUUAUCCUACUUUCAAAUCAGGUGAUUCCAGUUUCCCAGUUUGGGAAUAGCACAGCUUCUUCGUCGUUCCAAUCAAACCAGGAUGAAUCUCUUUGUAAGAAGCUUGAUUUGGAUACGUAAAGUGGUGGAGAAUCACCAGGAAGUUGAAUAAAUCUCAUAGGAGUUGGCAUGAAGAAGUUAUCCCACUUUCAAAUCAGGUGAUUCCAGUUUCCCAGUUUGGGAAUAGCACAGCUUCUUGGUCGUUCCAAUCAAACCAGGAUGUAUCUCUUUGUAAGAAGUUUGAUUUGGAUACAUAAAGUGGUGGUGAAUCACCAGGAAGUUGAAUAAAUCUCAUAGG